GGUGGGAUGGCGGAGUGGACUAACGCGCCUGCCUUGAGAGCAGGUGGCCUUACGGCCUCCUGGGUUCAAAUCCCAGUCCCACCGCCA
rnacentral:tRNA from 1 species